CCGAGUUAGGGUACUCUUCGUGCCCGACCUCCAACCCUUUGUCUACCUGACCAGAUGUUGCUUCGGCAGGCCCCGCCCGCCCCCGCAAGGGGUAGCCGCCGGGGGGCCCUUACCGGCUCCGGGUCCGCGCCUGUCGAUGGCCCUCUAUAAACUCUUGCUUAAAACCGUGUCGUCUGAGUAAAAACAAACAAAUAAAAACA
rnacentral:misc_RNA from 1 species